rnacentral:rRNA from 1 species
GGAGGUAGCUUGCUACUUUGCUGACGAGCGGCGGACGGGUGAGUAAUGCCUAGGAAUCUGCCUAGUAGUGGGGGAUAACGUUCGGAAACGGACGCUAAUACCGCAUACGUCCUACGGGAGAAAGUGGGGGAUCUUCGGACCUCACGCUAUUAGAUGAGCCUAGGUCGGAUUAGCUAGUUGGUGAGGUAAUGGCUCACCAAGGCGACGAUCCGUAACUGGUCUGAGAGGAUGAUCAGUCACACUGGAACUGAGACACGGUCCAGACUCCUACGGGAGGCAGCAGUGGGGAAUAUUGGACAAUGGGCGAAAGCCUGAUCCAGCCAUGCCGCGUGUGUGAAGAAGGUCUUCGGAUUGUAAAGCACUUUAAGUUGGGAGGAAGGGCAGUAAAUUAAUACUUUGCUGUUUUGACGUUACCGACAGAAUAAGCACCGGCUAACUCUGUGC